rnacentral:rRNA from 1 species
AUUGAACGCUGGCGGCAUGCCUUACACAUGCAAGUCGAACGGUAACAGGUUAAGCUGACGAGUGGCGAACGGGUGAGUAAUAUAUCGGAACGUGCCCAGUCGUGGGGGAUAACGUAGCGAAAGCUACGCUAAUACCGCAUACGAUCUACGGAUGAAAGCGGGGGAUCGCAAGACCUCGCGCGAUUGGAGCGGCCGAUAUCAGGUUAGGUUGUUGGUGAGGUAAAAGCUCACCAAGCCUGCGAUCUGUAGCUGGUCUGAGAGGACGACCAGCCACACUGGAACUGAGACACGGUCCAGACUCCUACGGGAGGCAGCAGUGGGGAAUUUUGGACAAUGGACGCAAGUCUGAUCCAGCAAUGCCGCGUGCAGGACGAAGGCCUUCGGGUUGUAAACUGCUUUUGUACGGAACGAAACGGUGAGCUCUAAUACAGUUUGCUAAUGACGGUACCGUAAGAAUAAGCACCGGCUAACUACGUGCCAGCAGCCGCGGUAACAC